CUUGCGGCUGCCGCAAACCGCGAUCUUGUCUUUCGGGAGGUGGGGAAAGGAAUGGCAGCAGCUGCAGCCAGCGCUACAGGCUUCCAGUGAUUCGCCCAUUCAUUCAUAAUACUUGUGUGACUUGUCUUCAGUAUCUCAAAAGGUAGAGCUGCCCUUGAGCCUGGAAUGACUUGAAGAAAUGAUGACAGUGCUUUGCUGCAACUCACAGUAUGGACUUCUCAAGAAAGCUAAUUUAUUUCCUCAUUAGAUUUGUUUGCCUCCCAUCUCAGUUCGAAGCAACUCUACACAUAAUAUAUCGCAACAUAUGGUCAUUUGAGCCUGGUCAUUUAUACCUUGAAUGAGGAUUUGAGAUUGAUUUGUUUGCCUUGGCGAUCCGUGGUAUUCUCAGGAGUUCUCUCCAGCACCAAAUGUUCAAAAGCAUCAGUACUCUUUCUGUCACCCUUUUUUCAAAGUCCAGUUUUUAUUUCCAUAGAGUACCAGAUGGAAAACAAUUGUUUGCAUAAUUCUGAUCUUUCUCAGUAAAAACACUUCAUGACGUAUAAUAUUUUUUCCUAGACCUUCAUUGCUACUCUAAUAAUUGCUAGUAUGUGGCAUGUUUCUUGACUGCUGGUUCCUAAAAGGCAGUACUGUUGACAACUGACCGUAAAAGGUAGAAGCUGUCCAAUACUUCAGCAUCUUUAUUGUUGAUUUUUAAGUCUGAUUGCUGGACCUAAUGACAACAUAGCUGUAACUAAUGAAUGCUGUAACUUGAUAUUCUGUAUAGUUAAUCUUAGUUCUGUCAGGUCAUUUACAUUUUUGGCUAUCAGAGCAGCCUGAUCAGCAGUGGCAUUGGCAACCCGUAUUUCUCCCUCCAAUUUUUGAAAAUAUAUUCAUUUUCUUCUAACCCAGCUUCCCUCACUAUAUAUUCAGCAUGUACAUUAAAUAAAUAAGAGGUAUAUGCAGCUUUGUUUUACUCCUUUGCUAAUCUGCAGCCAGUUUGUUUCACUAAGAUCUGUCUGGUUUCUUUACCUAUGCAUAACAUUAGAACAAUAAAAUGUUCUGGACUUCCCAUUUUUCUAAGCACUUUUCACAGUUUUAUGCGAUCGACACAAUUGAAGGCCUGUCUAUAGUCAAUGAAGCAUAUACUGACUUUGUAUUCUUUGGCUUUUUCAAUUAUACAGCAUGCAUCAGCAAUAAUAUCUUGAGUAACUCAGCCUUUUCUAAAGCCAGCUUGAACAUUUAGCAUAUAUUUCCAUUGAGUAAUCCUAAGCAUUAUUUUGCUAGCAUGUGUAAUUAAGGAUAUUUUAUGAUAGUUUGUACACUCUUGAAAGUCUCCUUUAUUUGGCAUUGGUGUAUAGGCAAACCUCUUCCAAUCUACUGGCCACUAUGCCAAUCUCCAGAUUUCCUGACAUAAUUUGGUUAGAACCUUUACAAAUUCUUCUGCUUUUUGCUAUAAUUUUGGUAGAAAUUCCAUCAGUUUCCGUAGCCUUCCAAAUUGGCAGUGACCAAAAUGCUGAUCCAACUUCAAUCUUCUGGUACUAGAGAUUUUUAUAAAUAGAUAAUAUUUUCUAAGGAAUCUUGAAAGUUGACAUCUUUACUGUACACACUUUCAGAAUACUGCUUCUAUCUGUUUGAUUUUCUUUAAAUCAAUCACUAGCUUUUUCAUUGCCAUUUUUUAGCACAUCAAUUUGUGGCUGGAAAACCUUUGAAGUACAAAGAUCCUUUGGAAGACUUUUCUUGUUUUGACAUGCCUAUUUCCAUCUUUGAUGUUUUUACAGAUGUUUUAAUACUGCUCAUUUUUUUAACAAUUUUCUAAAAUAUUAUUCUUUUAUGAAGCAAACAAUGGUAAUAAAUCACCAUUAAAGCUAAUUAAAGCCUAAAUCUGAUCUGAUAAUAUAUUUUUAAAUACGAUGUUUGCUUAUGUUGAAUAAUAUUUGCAUGAUGCAAGUAUAUAUAGAAUUGUAACUUCAUAGUUAUAAUGACAUCAUAU